rnacentral:tRNA from 1 species
GGUGGUAGAGUGGUUAAUGCGCCCCGCCUGGUGAGCGGGAGGCCGAGGGUUCGAAUCCCGACCC